rnacentral:rRNA from 1 species
UACGUAGGGUGCAAGCGUUGUCCGGAAUUAUUGGGCGUAAAGAGCUCGUAGGCGGUCUGUCGCGUCGGCUGUGAAAACCCGAGGCUCAACCUCGGGCCUGCAGUCGAUACGGGCAAACUAGAGUACUGCAGGGGAGACUGGAAUUCCUGGUGUAGCGGUGAAAUGCGCAGAUAUCAGGAGGAACACCGGUGGCGAAGGCGGGUCUCUGGGCAGUAACUGACGCUGGAGGAGCGAAA